GCAUACAUACAAACGUACAUAUAUUUUGUUGUGUUUUUGUUAAAUAAAACAAAAGUUUGUGUAUAAAUUAUACAAUCAAUUCAAGAAAUCGGUCUAAAGUGAAUAACUAUUUGCAGCCCCUAAAUAUUGCAUUGCACAGUCAUGUUUUGGUAAUCAAUAAUUCAGUGAGAAUCCCACUAACCACAAAAUUGUGAUCAACCUAAACGUACAAUGAAAAUUGCGCGAAUUUUGUGAUGUACGAUAAUGCUAUUGUGUAUUAAUGCUGUAUUUCUAAUUGUCCUUUGCUAAUACAUACUAAUCAUUAAGCCACAAAGUUUAUGUGCACAUGGGAAUUUCUAAAAACAACAUAUUCCUCCUCUCUAUCCUCUGCUUGGAGAAGGCUUUAAAAUACAACUGCCAACAUUGAAGCGAAAGGGAAAGAAGCAAAGUUUCGAUCAUUUGGAUGUGUGCUUCACGCGGAGUAAUCGUGGCAACAAUCUGUUGACCAUUAAUGGGAAACCCUUCACCUUGAACCGGCGGAUUAAGGAUGCCUGCUAUUGGGAGUGCGUCAAGUUGCGUUGCAAGUACAUCAAGUGCACCGCUCGAGUUGUAACCAAAUCGAAUCAGAUCUCAGCGCUGCGUGGACAGCACAAUCAUCCUUGAAAUUUAAAUAUCAUAUCAAAUUAAAUAAAUAUAUACAUAUAUGUUAAUGCUUUAAUCGUAAAUAUGUAUGCCAGUUUAUUUUGUGUGCUUUGUGCCAAGUGUUGACUGAAUUAGAGCACUACAAUUAAUUGUUUAUAACAUUUUCAGAUGACAUUUGGCUGCAGCGAAACUAUAAGCUGAUUGCUAAUCGUCGUGGUGGUCAGAAUCUCCUGUACAAUGGUCAUGUGUACACCGUGGAGAGGAAAUACCUAACGACCAUCAACUGGGUGUGCACCAAGAACAGUAAUAUGAAACGUUACGACGCCGCCGGCUCACGUACAGAAGCCGUGGAAGUCAUUUGCUAAUCGAUGGCUUUCGCUUUGUGAUUAGCUACCAGCAGC